CCCUCACCUCCAUGGCGUUGGUGCCCAAAAUUUCGAAACCCUGGAUACUACAGGGUCCUCACUCCCUCUCUCUCUGUUUUCUCUCAUAAGCAUAUACGUAUGCUUCUUUUAAUUUCAUAGUGUACAUUUAGGUUCUGACCAUACCACUAAUCCUUUCCUUCUUGCUCUGUUUGUUUAGGGAAAAAAUAUAAGGAAGAAUCAAUUAUUGUUAUAGAUCUCUUGGGAUUUUUGGCACAGGUUGAUUCGAUUCCAUUUUAUACAAGUAUAUGAAGCAAAGGAACAAUGGACGAUAUGAAGCAGCAACGGAAGGAAGAGGUGAACCUACAUAUCAGCUCUUGGAAUUGCAUCGGCAUCAACAUCCAUGUGUUCAAGGAGUUGAUAUCUGCAUGGAACCUCGGCCCUGGAGAUCGAUUGGUACGAGGAGCAGGUGCUGGUCGCCAUUGCGACACUUGUGCUGGUCGGGCAAUCUGGCACUGUUGGCAUAUACCCAGUAUAUUGAUGUGUCCUCAAAAUAUUGAUGCUUUCCUGGUUGGGAGUACCAUUCGGAGAUGAAGUUACCAGUUUAUUCAACCAUAUAACAGAAAUUGAUAGUAGGGCUUGGAUGGCAUCUCCUCUCGGUGUUGAUAGUCAGAGCAUAGGCUGAUAUGCUUUCCAGGUUCCUUUCUCGGGAACUAUCUACAUUGAGAACUGAUUUUUCCCUUAAGGAUUCAAUAGAUUACUAUGGGCUAGCUCUUGGUAAAUCUUCCCAGCUAAGGUAAUUGA